UACGGGGGGGCAAGCGUUGUUCGGAAUUACUGGGCGUAAAGGGCUCGUAGGUGGCCAACUAAGUCAGACGUGAAAUCCCUCGGCUUAACCGGGGAACUGCGUCUGAUACUGGAUGGCUUGAGGUUGGGAGAGGGAUGCGGAAUUCCAGGUGUAGCGGUGAAAUGCGUAGAUAUCUGGAGGAACACCGGUGGCGAAGGCGGCAUCCUGGACCAAUUCUGACACUGAGGAGCGAAAGCCAGGGGAGCAAACGGG
rnacentral:rRNA from 1 species